rnacentral:sRNA from 1 species
AUCUCUCCGUACGGGGAAGGAUGAGAAGCUUCGACUAAGGUUCGAUUCGAGCGAAAGCGAGAAAGCGUUGCCAACGGCAACGACCCGAAGGGCGAAGCGCGCAGCGCUGAGUCAACCUUCCCCCACCACCA